rnacentral:rRNA from 1 species
CUACGGGAGGCAGCAGUGGGGAAUUUUGGACAAUGGGCGCAAGCCUGAUCCAGCCAUGCCGCGUGCAGGAUGAAGGCCUUCGGGUUGUAAACUGCUUUUGUACGGAACGAAAAAGCCUUCUCUAAUAAAGGGGGUGAAUGACGGUACCGUAAGAAUAAGCACCGGCUAACUACGUGCCAGCAGCCGCGGU